rnacentral:rRNA from 1 species
CGUCUAUAUACGUAUAGCAUAUCAAUAAGCGGAGGAAAAGAAACUAACUAGGAUUCCCUCAGUAACGGCGAGUGAAGCGGGAAGAGCUCAAAUUUGAAAUCUUCAAGGUUUUACCUUGACGAAUUGUAGUUUAAAGAAGUGUUUUCUGUUGGAAUUUUGGUAAAAGUUCUUUGGAAAAAGACAUCAAAGAGGGUGAGAAUCCCGUAUUUGACUAUUAUUUCCAGCUUUGUGAUACACUUUCAAAGAGUCGGAUUGUUUGGGAAUGCAGUCCGAAAUGGGUGGUAAAUUUCAUCUAAAGCUAAAUACUGGCGAGAGACCGAUAGCGAACAAGUACCGUGAGGGAAAGAUGAAAAGAACUUUGAAAAGAGAGUUAAACAGUACGUGAAAUUGUCAAAAGGGAAGCGUUUGACACCAGUGUUGUUUUCUCGAAAAUCAAUUAAAAAUGAUUGGAUUUUGUGUUGUAUUGACUUUAUCAGCUUUCUGCACUUUUUUCUUGUCUUUUUUAAUGCACUUUUCGUUUAACAAGUCAACAUCAAUUUCUUUUGUUGUAAAAGAGUCAUUGGAAGGUGGCUUUCUUUUCGGAGAAAGUGUUUAUAGCCUUUGACUUCUGCAAUCGGAGAGAUUGAGGUCUGCAGCGUAGAUCCUUCGGGGUUAGAUACAGUUAGAUGCUAAGUUAUAGCUUUUUCAUAGACAACUUGUUGACUAUAAUCAGUCAUGUAGCUUACUCGCUUAUGGUUAUUUUACCUACGCUUAGGAUGUUGACGAUCAGCUGAGCGCG